CUCUCAGCUCUUGAAAGUGGCUGCAGCCUGGGGCUCUGGCAAUUUGCUGCAGAAGCAGAGGCCUUUCUGUUAAUUAACACAUGGAAAAGGAACCAUCGCCCCUGACUGCCACUCUCGGAGCCGUCUCCUGCCAAAAGCAGCUGCAGGUCGUGUCUCAUUUCUGAUGUGGUACCAUGAACGAUAGCCCCUCUCCACCGCAUACUCCCAUGAUGACCGUCGAUGCAGUAAAUCUCGUGCUCGGGGAGUCCCCGCAACAGAGCCGGCCAGUCUGCAGGCGGUGAGGAGGAGGAGGAGGAGGAGGAGGAGGAGCGCACCGAGAGGACUCGCCU